rnacentral:lncRNA from 1 species
GGUUGUUUUCCCUUUGACUGCUAAUCACACGAGCCUCGUUGAUCUUUUGCUGGAAUGAUGACCAGAGGAUGGUAUUUUUGCCUUGUUUGUGCUUCUGGGUGAAGCAAAAUAUUGGUAGCAGGCUUUCGCUUAUACGUCUGAUGUGUAGCAGCCAUACACACUGUUGUGAUUGUAGAAAAGAGGGUAUCGCUAAUCCCUGUGGCAUUCGAUGACUAUUAUUAUCAAACAAGUAUAAAAUUUGACGAAAAUAUCGCAACAAUUAUUACCUUAAAUAAAAUUUAACGAAAAAAUAUAUCAUUGGUAUUCCAAAUAUAGAAAUCCGAACAUAAUAGAAAUAUUUCAAUCUAGAAU